rnacentral:rRNA from 1 species
UACGUAGGGGGCAAGCGUUGUCCGGAUUCAUUGGGCGUAAAGAGCGUGUAGGCGGCCAGGUAGGUCGGUUGUGAAAACUGGAGGCUCAACCUUCAGAGGUCGACCGAAACCAUCUGGCUAGAGUCCGGGAGAGGAGAGUGGAAUUCCUGGUGUAGCGGUGAAAUGCGCAGAUAUCAGGAGGAACACCUGCGGCGAAGGCGGGUUGCUGGGCCGACACUGACGCUGAUGCGCGAAAGCUAGGGGAGCGAACGGG